rnacentral:rRNA from 1 species
CAAUAGCGUAUAUUAAAGUUGUUGCAGUUAGAACGCUCGUAGUCGGAUUUCGGGGCGGGCCGACCGGUCUGCCGAUGGGUACGCACUGGUCGGCGCGUCCUUCCUUCCGGAGACCGUCCCUACUCUUAACUGAGCGGGGGCGGGAGACGGAACUUUUACUUUGAAAAAAUCAGAGUGUUUCAAGCAGGCAGUGCGCUCUUGCAUGGAUUAGCAUGGGAUAAUGAAAUAGGACUUUGGUGCUAUUUUGUUGGUUUCGAACACCGAAGUAAUGAUUAAAAGGGACAGUCAGGGGCACUCGUAUUCCGCCGAGAGAGGUGAAAUUCUCAGACCAGCGGAAGACGAACCACUGCGAAAGCAUUUGCCAGGGAUGUUUNCACUGA